AGUGAACGCUGGCGGUAGGCCUAACACAUGCAAGUCGAACGGCAGCACAGGAGAGCUUGCUCUCUGGGUGGCGAGUGGCGGACGGGUGAGGAAUACAUCGGAAUCUACUCUGUCGUGGGGGAUAACGUAGGGAAACUUACGCUAAUACUGCAUACGACCUACGGGUGAAAGCAGGGGAUCUUCGGACCUUGCGCGAUUGAAUGAGCCGAUGUCGGAUUAGCUAGUUGGCGGGGUAAAGGCCCACCAAGGCGACGAUCCGUAGCUGGUCUGAGAGGAUGAUCAGCCACCCUGGAACUGAGACACGGUCCAGACUCCUAGGGGAGGCAGCAGUGGGGAAUAUUGGACAAUGGGCGCAAGCCUGAUCCAGCCAUACCGCGUGGGUGAAGAAGGCCUUCGGGUUGUAAAGCCCUUUUGUUGGGAAAGAAAUCCAGCUGGUUAAUACCCGGUUGGGAUGACGGUACCCAAAGAAUAAGCACCGGCUAACUUCGUGCCAGCCGCCGCGGUAA
rnacentral:rRNA from 1 species